UUAAGCGACUAAGCGUACACGGUGGAUGCCCUGGCAGUCAGAGGCGAUGAAGGACGUGCUAAUCUGCGAUAAGCGUCGGUGAGGUGAUAUGAACCGUUAUAACCGGCGAUUUCCGAAUGGGGAAACCCAGUGUGUUUCGACACACUAUCAUUAACUGAAUCCAUAGGUUAAUGAGGCGAACCGGGGGAACUGAAACAUCUAAGUACCCCGAGGAAAAGAAAUCAACCGAGAUUCCCCCAGUAGCGGCGAGCGAACGGGGAGGAGCCCAGAGCCUGAAUCAGUGUGUGUGUUAGUGGAAGCGUCUGGAAAGGCGCGCGAUACAGGGUGACAGCCCCGUACACAAAAAUGCACAUACUGUGAGCUCGAUGAGUAGGGCGGGACACGUGGUAUCCUGUCUGAAUAUGGGGGGACCAUCCUCCAAGGCUAAAUACUCCUGACUGACCGAUAGUGAACCAGUACCGUGAGGGAAAGGCGAAAAGAACCCCGGCGAGGGGAGUGAAAAAGAACCUGAAACCGUGUACGUACAAGCAGUGGGAGCCUCUUAAUGGGGUGACUGCGUACCUUUUGUAUAAUGGGUCAGCGACUUAUAUUCUGUAGCAAGGUUAACCGAAUAGGGGAGCCGAAGGGAAACCGAGUCUUAACUGGGCGUUAAGUUGCAGGGUAUAGACCCGAAACCCGGUGAUCUAGCCAUGGGCAGGUUGAAGGUUGGGUAACACUAACUGGAGGACCGAACCGACUAAUGUUGAAAAAUUAGCGGAUGACUUGUGGCUGGGGGGGAAAGGCCAAUCAAACCGGGAGAUAGCUGGUUCUCCCCGAAAGCUAUUUAGGUAGCGCCUCGUGAAUUCAUCUCCGGGGGUAGAGCACUGUUUCGGCAAGGGGGUCAUCCCGACUUACCAACCCGAUGCAAACUGCGAAUACCGGAGAAUGUUAUCACGGGAGACACACGGCGGGUGCUAACGUCCGUCGUGAAGAGGGAAACAACCCAGACCGCCAGCUAAGGUCCCAAAGUCAUGGUUAAGUGGGAAACGAUGUGGGAAGGCCCAGACAGCCAGGAUGUUGGCUUAGAAGCAGCCAUCAUUUAAAGAAAGCGUAAUAGCUCACUGGUCGAGUCGGCCUGCGCGGAAGAUGUAACGGGGCUAAACCAUGCACCGAAGCUGCGGCAGCGACACUAUGUGUUGUUGGGUAGGGGAGCGUUCUGUAAGCCUGUGAAGGUGUACUGUGAGGUAUGCUGGAGGUAUCAGAAGUGCGAAUGCUGACAUAAGUAACGAUAAAGCGGGUGAAAAGCCCGCUCGCCGGAAGACCAAGGGUUCCUGUCCAACGUUAAUCGGGGCAGGGUGAGUCGACCCCUAAGGCGAGGCCGAAAGGCGUAGUCGAUGGGAAACAGGUUAAUAUUCCUGUACUUGGUGUUACUGCGAAGGGGGGACGGAGAAGGCUAUGUUGGCCGGGCGACGGUUGUCCCGGUUUAAGCGUGUAGGCUGGUUUUCCAGGCAAAUCCGGAAAAUCAAGGCUGAGGCGUGAUGACGAGGCACUACGGUGCUGAAGCGACAAAUGCCCUGCUUCCAGGAAAAGCCUCUAAGCAUCAGGUAACAUCAAAUCGUACCCCAAACCGACACAGGUGGUCAGGUAGAGAAUACCAAGGCGCUUGAGAGAACUCGGGUGAAGGAACUAGGCAAAAUGGUGCCGUAACUUCGGGAGAAGGCACGCUGAUAUGUAGGUGAAGCGACUUGCUCGUGGAGCUGAAAUCAGUCGAAGAUACCAGCUGGCUGCAACUGUUUAUUAAAAACACAGCACUGUGCAAACACGAAAGUGGACGUAUACGGUGUGACGCCUGCCCGGUGCCGGAAGGUUAAUUGAUGGGGUUAGCGGUAACGCGAAGCUCUUGAUCGAAGCCCCGGUAAACGGCGGCCGUAACUAUAACGGUCCUAAGGUAGCGAAAUUCCUUGUCGGGUAAGUUCCGACCUGCACGAAUGGCGUAAUGAUGGCCAGGCUGUCUCCACCCGAGACUCAGUGAAAUUGAACUCGCUGUGAAGAUGCAGUGUACCCGCGGCAAGACGGAAAGACCCCGUGAACCUUUACUAUAGCUUGACACUGAACAUUGAGCCUUGAUGUGUAGGAUAGGUGGGAGGCUUUGAAGUGUGGACGCCAGUCUGCAUGGAGCCGACCUUGAAAUACCACCCUUUAAUGUUUGAUGUUCUAACGUGGGCCCCUUACCGGGGUUGCGGACAGUGUCUGGUGGGUAGUUUGACUGGGGCGGUCUCCUCCUAAAGAGUAACGGAGGAGCACGAAGGUUGGCUAAUCCUGGUCGGACAUCAGGAGGUUAGUGCAAUGGCAUAAGCCAGCUUGACUGCGAGCGUGACGGCGCGAGCAGGUGCGAAAGCAGGUCAUAGUGAUCCGGUGGUUCUGAAUGGAAGGGCCAUCGCUCAACGGAUAAAAGGUACUCCGGGGAUAACAGGCUGAUACCGCCCAAGAGUUCAUAUCGACGGCGGUGUUUGGCACCUCGAUGUCGGCUCAUCACAUCCUGGGGCUGAAGUAGGUCCCAAGGGUAUGGCUGUUCGCCAUUUAAAGUGGUACGCGAGCUGGGUUUAGAACGUCGUGAGACAGUUCGGUCCCUAUCUGCCGUGGGCGCUGGAGAACUGAGGGGGGCUGCUCCUAGUACGAGAGGACCGGAGUGGACGCAUCACUGGUGUUCGGGUUGUCAUGCCAAUGGCACUGCCCGGUAGCUAAAUGCGGAAGAGAUAAGUGCUGAAAGCAUCUAAGCACGAAACUUGCCCCGAGAUGAGUUCUCCCUGACUCCUUGAGAGUCCUGAAGGAACGUUGAAGACGACGACGUUGAUAGGCCGGGUGUGUAAGCGCAGCGAUGCGUUGAGCUAACCGGUACUAAUGAACCGUGAGGCUUAACCUU
rnacentral:rRNA from 1 species